GGCCAGCACUCAAUUCACUGAGACACACCAGCCAGGGGUAAUUACAAAUUCUUAAACAUGAGAGGACUCAGGACAUUUUUCUCCAUUCCACAUCAGAUUACAAGCUCCUGCACUAAAUUGUAAUAUCCUUUAGAACAAAACCACAAAAACUGUCCUGUGUCUCAUUCACCAUUGUAAUCCCAGGACAAGCAGUGUUAAAAAAAGAAAAACAUUCCCUGGCCAGGUAGCUCAGUUGUUAGAGUGUCAUUCAGAUACUCCAAGGUCACAGGUUUGAUCCCUGGUCAGGGCACAUACAAGAAGCAACCAAUAAGUGCA